UGGUAUCUUUCAAUAUCUAUUCAAAUAUCUUCUAUAUCUUAUAAUACUAAAAUCUUGACACAAAGUUUUCAAAUAUCUAAAGGCAUCAAUUGAUUUACAGCAAGAUUAUUUAAAUAUUUAUUUUUUGUAAGCUCAAUGAAAAAAAUCGGAACAAAUUUGAAAUACGAAUAGCUUUGCUCUUGACAAACUCGAGCCGAAGUUCAACCCUCGACAGGUGGCUACGAAUAGAAUACGAAUACGCUAGCGGAUCGCUAUUUAUACCUUACGCGAAGAGAAGGGAGUUAAUACUACGCAUGCGCAUUUUACGAAAUCAAAACUACGCGGUUUAACAAUUGUGAAGAAAUGUCUUAAUAUUAACAUAGAGUAUAAUACAAAGUAAUUUUGUAUAUCAAACAUAUUAAUAAUUGAGAGUUAAAAAAAAAGUAAACAAAAUUGAAAUAAAAUUCAUCCAUAUAAGAAAGAAAGUUUGAAGAAAUAAAAUUAAAUGGAAAAAAGCAAAAAGAAAAGAAACGAGAGCAUGGAAAUACAUAAGAAAAAACAACGAAUAAGAAAGGACAACUAGAAGGUAUAAGAUAAGAUCACAGUAUUAAUGGUAACCUUAAAAGAUAAAAUGGAAACAGAAUGAGAACGGAGAUUCAACAAAGAAAUAGAGAAACGACGAAAAAGUAAACGUUGGUGGACGGGUUGGAUAGACUGAAACAACUGAAAAUGAUGAAUUAAGCUUGGUCUUUUUCUGAACUCGAUUCUCGAUGUUGAUGAAUCGAAUUGGAUGAUAGAACUUUGAUAUAGACAUAAUAAAACCUAUUCUUUAUUCUUUAAAAA